CCUACGGGGGGCUGCAGUGAGGAAUAUUGGUCAAUGGACGAGAGUCUGAACCAGCCAAGUAGCGUGAAGGAUGACUGCCCUAUGGGUUGUAAACUUCUUUUAUAUGGGAAUAAAAUGUUCCACGUGUGGGAUUUUGUAUGUACCAUAUGAAUAAGGAUCGGCUAACUCCGUGCCAGCAGCCGCGGUAAUACGGAGGAUCCGAGCGUUAUCCGGAUUUAUUGGGUUUAAAGGGAGCGUAGGUGGAUUGUUAAGUCAGUUGUGAAAGUUUGCGGCUCAACCGUAAAAGUGCAGUUGAAACUGGCAGUCUUGAGUACAGUAGAGGUGGGCGGAAUUCGUGGUGUAGCGGUGAAAUGCUUAGAUAUCACGAAGAACUCCGAUUGCGAAGGCAGUUCACUGGACUGCAACUGACACUGAGGCUCGAAAGUGUGGGUAUCAAACAGGAUUAGAUACCCUUGUAGUC
rnacentral:rRNA from 1 species